rnacentral:lncRNA from 1 species
UCUCCUCAUCCCAGCAGUAGCCAGCCAAUGAAAAAUAGGCUCAGGGGGUUCCCGAGCCAAUGGAAGCCCGCGGGCCGUGAGGACUUGCCACUAGAAACGUUUAUGGUGUCCCGGCCCGGAGACUUCUGUGUGUUUGUUAGGCGGGGCGGGGGGCGUCUUCCCAGCAGCCCAGGACAGGUGUGUGCCCAGGCGGAUUAGAGCGCCUGCUGUUGUUUUGAAGAAUGGAUGGUUACAUAACAGAUGGCCAGCUGGUCUACCUAGAAGGGCCUUACAAAGGACAGUGCCUCCGUGGGGAAGGCUCACCCUGGAUCAGACGCCGGAUUGCAGAUUUACCAUGAAUGAAGCCCUUGGAGACUGAAUCAUGUUAAAAAUUCAAAAACAACUCAGUAAAUAUUUAUUUGAAGUCCUGCUGUUCUUCAAGGCCCUGGAAUGCAGAUAUGAGAAGAGUCACUGCUGCCCAAGAGCUGACUGACUGUGGAGGAAGACCAUGCUAGCAGGUUUCUCAACAGGGGUCCCUCAUGUGAACUACAGAAUAUAGAAAGAUUGAAUGACUAAUUAUACUAGAACCAUUCAAGAUGCAUAGGAGAGAACUCAGUUUGUUACACACAGGAGAUUCCUUAAAGAACUAAAAGUAAGACUAUCAUUAGAUCCAGCAAUCCCACUACUGGGUAUCUACCCAGAG